UUCUCCAUUCUUCCGUCGCCCCCUCCAAAACCUAGGUCAUGGCGGCCGCCUCUGGCGCCCAUCUCUCCGGUUUCCUCUCCCUCUGUGGCAACUCCAGCUCCCCCUUCCCUCCCCUUCUCCUGCCCCUCUCGACAUGCACUCCAUCUCCUUCCCUUUCUUUCUCCGCCUUCUGGAUUACCAGCGGCGGCGUCUGCCCGGCGAGCGCCACUGCCACCGACGCAUCCUCUCAGCUCCAAAAAAAAGCUCCUUUUUUUGUCCGAAUUAGCGAGAAAUCGCCGGAUCUGCGUGCGGCGGUGCUGAAUCCAGUGGUGUUGUGAGCCCAGCCGUCCACCGACACUUACUACCCAGGCUGGGCCUUUCGUUGAGCCGAGGAAGGAGGUGGACGAAGCUGAUGAGGCGCAAGCUGCAGCAGUCAAGAGCCAAAGAACAUGGACGUACAUCUCAACUACUUGAAUCUGCAUCAUUACGAGGUGUUAUGCAACAUGCAUCUUGCUGCUAGAGAUUGGGAUUUCAGAUACUUGUUUACGAGAGCUGAAACACCAUUUUAUUUUGUUCGCCAGUAAAUGAAAAUGAAACAUUGCUGCCCCAGCUUGAGUAUUUCCUUAUCUGAGAAUACUUGAGGACAGUCAAUCUAUGAUGAUAUUCUUAGUAUUCUGAAUUUGCACUGAAACUCCGAGUAAUCGAUAAUGAAUUUUCACUUGACUGAAGAUGCCAGUUUGUAAGCAUCACACAAACUCUUCAGGCGAGCAGGUUGAAGGCUAACGGCUAACUAAAUUAAGCUGUUCAUGGUGAUAUAUUUUGAGCUCAUACACCACUCUCUGCUAAGUGCCAAUUCCAGCUGUUAUCAUUUGUGAGUAGUAACUAUGACUAUCCUCUUUUAAUUUAUCUCACUUUCUCACUGGAAUAUCCAUGUGCUCUUUUAACUAUGACUGCCAAUUGACUGCUCUUUUAAAUAAAAAAAUGUGAAGUAUACAAUUCUUAUUGACAAGUUAACCCUUCCAAGCAGUAUGGUUAGGCAAACAUGCUGCAGGUGAACAACAGAGAAAUGUCCACAACAAUAUUCAAAACGAUUACUGAUGCCUACAGGACAUAGUAUUAGCAUGUAGAUCUUACUAUGUUUACAACAUGUAGACCUGAACUCUGCCUAUAACAUUAGCUUCUCAUCGACACAUUUUUUAAAAGCAUGUUCAUUUGAUGCUUUAAUGCGCUUCAAUCAUUUAUUAGAUUAUAAUGUUUGCAUUUCAUUAGCCGCAGAAGAUUGACACCAUUAUCACUAAUUAUUCUUGGCACAUGUUAGUGCAACACAUGCGCGAAGAUAGUUUUGUACUCCUAGAUUAUCACACUUGUCGUGAAUUUUCCCAACCAAUGAUACUGCUGUCCCCAACCAGUGAGACUCCACAAUGGCAAAUUAGUCUAUAAUUGUUUUUGUUGUUAUCCUACAGAGAUGUGUCAUAAAAACAACAAGAACAACAUAAUGACAAUUUUCCUUAUCUGCGUUUCUUUUAUUUGUUUCUCCGACUGAGAUUAUUUUCUUUUAUGUGAGUGUUUUGAAGCAAUUUGGUUGCAGGAAUCAUGUUGAAAGGAAAGUAACUGUUGUGACGAUGCAUUAGUUUUGCUCAGAUGAAACGCCUAUAACAAAAUAUUUCCAUGUAGACGUACAUGAUAGGCUAUGGCAUUAACGGUCAUAGACAUAGAGGUGAUUCCUAUAUGUAUGUUUGGUUGUGGUCAUACAGGCUUUGUGUUGGUGUUUUGUUAUAACUUCAUUUUAGAGCCACAUUUAUUUAGUAUUUACUAACUUUAUAUAUAUUACGCAGAAUACAUCCUUGCCGUGUGAUAUAUGUGUUGAACUUUGAGCCAAUGCAGACACUGUGAACUGAAUGUCAAGCUAAUAUAUUGUGACUCAUAAUCAUUAUAACUAUUGCCUAGCUCCUUAUCUAGGGAAACUUUGUUAUAGGCGUUUCCUGUGAUAUGUAUAGAAUGGUUGGUUCCAUGAUUCUAUUUCAUUGGUGGGUGCCACCUUUGUGAUUGUCUUUGCCAUGGGUCUUAAGUGCUCUGGGUGGCAUAUUUGAGAGUCCUAUUUACGCUCUGAUUUGAGAAAGUUUGUACUUGGCAUUUUCCAAAGCACUUGAGGUAUCACUGCAUGUUAGGAUUUAGUAGGCUGCCUCUUUUGCAUUUGAUGUUGCUGAGAGGGAUUUUGCAUUAUUCACUCCAUGUAUUCUUAUGAUUUACUUUUGAAUGUCUGAUAUAUUUGAAUUAGUUCGGUGAGGUUGUGCGCUUAAAAAAUAUAGUUAUAGGAUUUUUCUUUGAUAUGUAUAGCUGGUUAAUGGCUUAUAUGCAAUAUGAAAAAUGUUCAUGCCAUUUGGGUUCCACGAUUCUCAUACACUGUUCAUUCAUUUGCAUGUUGAGCUAAUACUUAUAUGUAUGUAGUAUUUGAUUAUUUUUUGAAAUAUGUGAAUUACACUAUCUAAUGCCAGCCUGCAUUUUGCACUACAGGAACACUCCUGAAUCUGUAUAUCAUUAACUGAUUCCCAACCAAUCAUUGCAGAGUCACUCUGUUCUCUCUUCUUUCUCAUUAUCCUCAGCACUCAGCAUGACUACACUUGGCUGCAUAAUGGUAUCAUAUCCUGGUAUAGCUUAUGUUGUUGCCCUUACAACGAAAUUGUUGCCAUUCGAUAUGGCUUUAGAGAAUUUCUAAUGUCAUCAUCGGUGAAGUCCUUUGCACUAUCCUUUGUCUCAAGAGGUUAUGUUAGCCUAAAAAUAUGUGUCAAUUAAUGAUGAAUAUUGUUUGUUCAUUACAACUUCUCCUGCUCCUGAAGAUACCAAUUUUACCUGAUAAGUACGUUGUUUCUUAAAAAAAACUGAACGAGAUUAACUAUUACAGACUUAUAGUAUUUCUUCCAGUCAACGCGAUGGAGGCGUCCAAGGAUGGUAAGUGUUGGCCUCCACCUGAAGCAUGGUUGAUCAGGGAUUUCUGGUUUUUCAUUUUGUUUGCGUGUGCUUCCUUUGCUGAUAUGACGUUGUUGCGUGCAGAAGACCAUAUCGUGGCACAUAUUUCGGGCUGUAUGAGGCCUUCCACAACGUUGCAAUUUAUCGGUGCCCAAACCAAUUUUGAGGCAUCGAGUGCCGGUUCCCUACAUUGCUCAGACGGUGCCUCAAAAUAUUUUCAGGGAAUCGGAGCAAGAAGAAGCACCGAUGCCUCAACUCAUCAGCUAAUAAAAUAUCAUAUCAAUGAACUGGCAAGCAGCAGCAUCGCUCCUUUAUGAAUCAUUACCUGGCCAUGCAACAUCCACGAUAGCUACGAAGAGAAAAGGUUGGUCUCAGUCCAUUCUUUUAUGCUGGCGUGGGUCCUACAACAGUUUUACAGGAAUCCACCACGCUGUGCCAUCGGUUCCCAAAUAUUUUUGUCAGGGGAUCACUGCUCCAUUCAGAUUUUGGGCACCGCCUACAUUGUGGAGGGCCUGAUGCUUAGAUAAGCUAUGUUGAGAGCUAUGGCACAGACGCAAGGUACCGUGCCUACUGGGAGUCUGGUGGCUUUGUGUCAGCGGUGCAGAGUCGUGUUCCUGUGAGGUGCCAGCUGUGUUCCAGGAGCUGGGUGGUUGGGAGUGCAUCUCAGGCAGAGGAGGAUGUGGCCGUGGGCCUCAUUCGUGCUGUACAGUGGUGGUGUGGUGUGGCUGUCGGUGACGCCAAAUGGAGACGCGCCAUCUGGAUGCGCCGACAGGCGGUCCAGCUCUGGUCCGUUGUUCAGACUGCAUUGGCAAGAAGCAGCAUGCAGUUGAGAAGGCUUGGUUUGCUGGAGCCGGGGCUGGUCUCCAUCGAUGAUUUGAUCUCCAUCUGUGGCACAUGCAGAGGAGCUCUGCUCUGUGGCUUAUGCUAACUUGGGUCUUGCGAGUGCUACCACUGAACUUGCCAGAUGAUUGAUAGGUGCAUGCUCUUUCGGGGCGCAGACUAGACAGGAUAAACGAGGUCACCACCAGGUUGACAGCGGCGUUGGGGCAGGAAGAGCUUGCUGGCACGCUAGGCUUCUUCUGGUAGUCUGCGUGGUAGGCAAAUCCUGCGUUCUUUAAUGUGCCCUUUCUUCCUGCGCCGUGGUUGUCCUGGUUGGGCAGCUGCUGUAGGCACGUUCAGUAGCCUGAUGUUCUGCAUACGAAAAAGAAGCUGGUGUUUUGCUGUAUGAAAAAGAAGCUGGCUCUGGGUGGGGUGGUCGUGGUGGUUGCCCUUUUGCAGUAGGCUGUGGAGUAGGUGCAAGUGCCGUGGGUAUGUGUGACGCUAUGUAUUUCUGGUGUGGUACUGGUUGAAAUGGAUACACGAAUGGGGUAGUUUUUGUA